rnacentral:lncRNA from 1 species
UGAUGGUAGUGUUCCUCCUCCUUAAGAGAGACAGUGGCCAUCUGAAAGUCACUGAGUGACUGAGUGGUUGGUAAACCCUACUGUGUGAGGACAGGCCCAAGGCACCAGGAGCACUUUUAGGAGAGUGUUCUCAGACAGCAGAUCGUCUUCAGGCAGACCUGGAGCAGAUGUCCAAGCUGCAUCCAGCAGAACCUCCAGCACUUUGUUGACUGCAAAUGGUGAGAGCAGACAUCUUUGGUUCAUCUUUGGUUCCGACCUUAGAGGAAAAGCAUUCAUUGUUUCACACUUGGGGCCUGGCAGCUUGCAGAGCCAGCAGAUUCAACGUUAUUUGGCUGUCCAGUGGAAAGGCGCACAUGGGAAGAACGCCGUGUGAGGAGAGGAGUAAUGCUGUCACAAGCCAGUGGACCAUCAGAAGCUGGAGAGAGGCCUGGGACAGGUGCUCCCUCAGGGCCUCAGAAGGAAUCGGCCCUGCCGGCAACUUGAUCUUGGACUUCUAGCCUCCAGGAUGGUGAGACAACAACUUUCUGU